CAGUGAGUGGGGGGUGGGGGAAUGGGGGAGCGUUGUGGGACAGGUCACAAUGUCCUAUUUCUCUGAGAUGGGGCUCCCUUCACUAAAGCUGUUUCUCUAACAGCUGACUCCCUCUGGAUGGCAGACAAAUCCUAUCUGGCUGUUAUGCGUGUCAUAUCUACCCAAAGGCUAAAUGCAGACUGUUUGAAGAUAUUCAUUUUCUUUAUUCAUGAAGAUAAAUGAAUGCCCUCUUUGGGGUUUGAUGUGAGAAGCGUGUGUGUAUCUCUUUGCGUGCAGGUGUGUGCAUAUGGGUUUGUGUGUGUGCCUGUCUGUGUAUUUAGUUGUAUAUAUAUAUAUAUAUAUAUAUAUAUGUGUGUGUGUGUGUGUGUGUGUGUGUGUGUGUUGAGGAUUUGCUGUCUCUGCAGUAUGUGUCCUGAUGAGAGGUGUCCUGACAGACUGUCACAUGUGACUUAUCCUCCGAUGAGCAGCUCUGUUCAACCCCUCCGCCCUGCCAGACCCCAUUAGAGCACAGUGAAAACCACACACACACACACACACAUGUCAAAAGCAGAAUUCCAAGAUCCCACAGCAACCACAGAGACAGGCAAAGUACAAACAAAGGCUCUUUAUUACAAGUUCAGGUUUUACAAUAGUGACAAUAUCUUAAAAAAUGAUUUGUUUGAUUGGUUCUGUUUAAUACGACUAAGUACCCAGUUAGACAUUUUUAAGGAGACAAGGAGUUAGGACAAUGAGCAUACACUAUGACACAGGGCAAAACAAACACAGCAGCUGCUUCACUCACAGAGAGUUGGUUGAUGUUUGUUCAUAUUGCCCUACCCCAGCAGGGUUCGUUCAUUCAUUUGGCUCUACCCGAGGAGGGUUCAUUUGGCUCUUCUUCCCGAGCUGGGAUUUGUUAACCUCUGGCUGUUACGGUAGUCGAUGACUAGUUUGGUAGUCCAUGGUAAGCUGCUGAGCUCUCUUCCCCCCCACUCCAAGCCGUGCCGGCUGUGUUGUAUCGGAGAUAGCCUCUCGCAGCUGCGUUGGGCGUGUCCCCCAUGUCUGUAGCCAUGGGGGGACAACAAACAUACAAUUACAAUAUGUACUGAUCUACAAUGGGAGUCACAAGCACACGUUUGAAAUAAGCACUUUGCUUUUAGAGUUCUACAGAGAGCGUUGUAAUGGAGUCUUUUUCCCACAGGCGAUCAGCUGAGAGAGACAGGGGUCGAGGUGCAGCGAGGAGUCAGAUGUCUGUCUGUGCAGAGGUUCCCGGUCGAACGGCGCCCUCGAAGGCACAGGCAAUCAGCAGAGAGGGACAGCGGUCGGGGAGCGGCGAAGAGUCAGAUGUCCAUUCGUUGAGAGGUUCAUGGUCGAACGGCGCCUUGAAGGAUAAAGAAGAAACAGAAUGGAGCUAAGCACAGAGAGGAAAGCCUGGUUCAGACUGCUUUCCACCAGACAGAUGAAUUCGUCUUUCAGCAGGACAAUAACCAAAAAUACAAGGCCAAAUCUACCCUGGAGUUGCAUACCAAGAAAACAGUGGAUGUUCCUGAGUGGCCGAGUUACAGUUUUGGCUUCCAUCAGCUUGAAAAUCUAUGGCAAGACUUGAAAAUGGUUGUCGAGCAAUGUUCAACAACCAAUUUGACAGAGCUUGAAGAAUGUUGAAAAGAAUCAUGGGAAAAUAUUGUACAAUCCAGGUGUGCAAAGCUCUUAGAGGCUUACCCAGAAGGACUCACAGCUUUAAUCGCUGCCAAAUGUGCUUCUAACAUGUAAACAGCUCUGUAACAUCCCUACGGCUUCCUAUAAGAUGUAUGCUCUGUCUUUUAAAGAACUCAUUGAUCUCAACCCACAAGCGGAUCCAGCUCCAACCAGGGACAGAGAGGAAGAGAGAAGAUGAG